GACGAACGCUGGCGGCGUGCUUAACACAUGCAAGUCGAACGGAAAGGCCCUGCUUUUGUGGGGUGCUCGAGUGGCGAACGGGUGAGUAACACGUGAGUAACCUGCCCUUGACUUUGGGAUAACUUCAGGAAACUGGGGCUAAUACCGGAUAGGAGCUCCUGCUGCAUGGUGGGGGUUGGAAAGUUUCGUCGGUUGGGGAUGGACUCGCGGCUUAUCAGCUUGUUGGUGGGGUAGUGGCUUACCAAGGCUUUGACGGGUAGCCGGCCUGAGAGGGUGACCGGCCACAUUGGGACUGAGAUACGGCCCAGACUCCUACGGGAGGCAACAGUGGGGAAUAUUGCACAAUGGGCGGAAGCCUGAUGCAGCAACGCCGCGUGCGGGAUGACGGCCUUCGGGUUGUAAACCGCUUUCGCCUGUGACGAAGCGUGAGUGACGGUAAUGGGUAAAGAAGCACCGGCUAACUACGU
rnacentral:rRNA from 1 species